rnacentral:rRNA from 1 species
GAUGAACGCUGACAGAAUGCUUAACACAUGCAAGUCUACUUGAACUUCGGUUUGGGUGGCGGACGGGUGAGUAACGCGUAAAGAACUUGCCUCACAGUUAGGGACAACAUUUGGAAACGAAUGCUAAUACCUGAUAUUAUGAUUUUAGGGCAUCCUAGGAUUAUGAAAGCUAUAUGUGCUGUGAGAGAGCUUUGCGUCCCAUUAGCUAGUUGGAGAGGUAACGGCUCACCAAGGCGAUGAUGGGUAGCCGGCCUGAGAGGGUGAACGGCCACAAGGGGACUGAGACACGGCCCUUACUCCUACGGGAGGCAGCAGUGGGGAAUAUUGGACAAUGGACCAAAAGUCUGAUCCAGCAAUUCUGUGUGCACGAUGACGUUUUUCGGAAUGUAAAGUGCUUUCAGUUGGGAAGAAAAAAAUGACGGUACCAACAGAAGAAGUGGCGGCUAAAUACGUG